AACAACCGAAAUCAGACAAAUUUAAAUUAGCUAGUAAGGAGUAGCAGUACAUCAAUUUUAUCGUUGGACCGACAGACCGGUCAGCAUCAAAUUAAACCAAUUGCAUUAACAUUCGUUUGUUAGUAUUAUUGUUGAUAUGAAAUACUGUAAACGUACUACAUUUGACUGCGUAUUCUAUUUAGCAUUUUAAGUGGAAUGCGGCUUCCGCUAAAUCCAGUACACGCUAAAUGCAAUGCAUAUACAUGUACGUUUAAGAAUAGUCACAUUCACGAAUACGCUAAUUCAAAUCCACGCCAACUUGUUCAAAAACUAUUUUCCGCCAAUUAUCGUACACGCCAAUGAAAUAUAAUACGUUUACAGUAAACUAUGUAGAAUACAUUUGCUUCUUUUACUCGUCUCUACCUGUUGGAGGGCUGGGGGGGGGGGGGAAAUAAUCUAACAUCAGAUAUUCCCUCAAUAUUCAUAUAUAUUAUGUUUAGCAUUUAACAAAAUAUAUUAAAUAUGAAUAUAUACAGAGCUCUUCUUCUUAGAAGAUUAAUGUAGUCCAAAAUGGCCACGACUAUUCAGCCCCCUUAAAAACCUCAUUGCAACGCACUUUUAAAAGAAAAAUCUAAUUCAAAGUGCAUAAAACCUAAAACCAAAUAUACGCACUUUCAUUUGUUCAAGCGUGUUUCACGUAUAAGUGUAUUUGAAAGACUUAUCUUGGAGCACUCCAAUCUCCACAAAAUCAUCAACAAUUUUUUUUUCAAAGUGCGCUGGUAUCGAAAACCUCCAUUUGUUUUGAAAAAAAAAAAUAUUUCAAAGUGCGUUGACUUGAUACCGCAAUUAACGCAAUUUGAAUUAUUUCGGAAGCUCAUUGUUACUGAUCAUUGUGUUUUAAAUGUAAUUUCUUUGUAGCUUUUUACUAACUUUUUUACGACAGUUUUGUGUUUUUAUAAUGCUUUUGUUUGUAAAUGUGCGAACAAACAUGGACUAAAGAAGUAUUAAACAAUUU
rnacentral:sRNA from 1 species